rnacentral:pre_miRNA from 1 species
AAAAAGGCAAACCCUAGGUUUCUGUGUCCAACUUUGACUGUCCGUCUUAUUUGAAAUUUUUUUAUAAUUCGUAUUUUCAUUGUUGUUAGAUGAUAAAACAUGAUUAAUAUUUUAUGCGUGACUUGUCUUUUUAUUUUUUUUCAUAAUUUUUUUAAAUAAGACGGACGGUCAAACGUUGGGCACGGAAACC